GAACGACUCUCGGCAACGGAUAUCUCGGCUCUUGCAUCGAUGAAGAACGUAGCGAAAUGCGAUACUUGGUGUGAAUUGCAGAAUCCCGUGAACCAUCGAGUCUUUGAACGCAAGUUGCGCCUGAAGCCAUUAGGUUGAAGGCACCGUCUGCCUGGGCGUCA
rnacentral:rRNA from 1 species